AAUAUGGUGUCGGUGUCAGACAAAGUUACGAUUAAAAUUUACCUAGAACAAUUCAAAAUCAAAAACGAAAAUAAAAAAUAAUUAAACAAUUGAAAAACACAGAGAUUACAGGAUUUACCUAGAAAUUACGAUUUCGCGGCGACGAAGACGGAACACGGUUUCACGGCGACUCGGCGAAUGUGCGAUAGCUGCUGAGAAACAAUUUCAAAACGAAAAUCAAAACAAAAAUACAUAGAUUGAAGUUAGUUGAAGAAGGAUUUGAGUUAUGUUACCUUUUUGAGCUGGAAUUUGAGAGAGACAGAGAUGGUGCAGAGAGAGAGAGAUUGAGAGAGACAGAAAUGGUGCAGUGUUUCACGAUGGUGUUUCACGGUGGUUUGGGGUCUGAGCUUGGGUUUCACAGUGGUGGUUUGGGGAUUGGGUUUCGAUUGAGAAUGGAGGAAAAGGGAGAACGAUUGGGUU
rnacentral:lncRNA from 1 species